CAGCCGCCGCGGGAAUACGGAGGGAGCUAGCGUUGUUCGGAAUCACUGGGCGUAAAGCGCACGUAGGUGGCUAUUCAAGUCAGGGGUGAAAGCCCGGGGCUCAACCCCGGAACUGCCUUUGAAACUAGAUAGCUUGAAUCUUGGAGAGGCGAGUGGAAUUCCGAGUGUAGAGGUGAAAUUCGUAGAUAUUCGGAAGAACACCAGUGGCGAAGGCGGCUCGCUGGACAAGUAUUGACGCUGAGGUGCGAAAGCGUGGGGAGCAAACAGGAUUAGAGACCCCAGUAGUCCCUGUCUCUUAUAC
rnacentral:rRNA from 1 species